UGUAGUGUUACGUAUGUGGCAGCAUUGCCCGCUCUUAAUAACCACUCCUUCAAAAAUUUCAGUUGAUCCAUUUUGGAGAUGGACUCUAUUCUGAAUGAAAGUGUUGUUUUAGUGUGAGCCUUAACUUUAUGAACAUACGUCAACAAUCAAGAUCCUGCAUCACUAACCUUUCAUUUGCAUAACAUACAGUUCGAGCUCCGAAAUAACUUUUCAGUGAUAAGAAAAUAAUUCCGAUAUAAUUUCCUGGAACGAUGGCAAGAUUUGUAUUUUCCUAGAAGCCUUUGAUGACAUUUAUUUCGGCCCAUCUGAGGCCAGAUUUCAGUCCACCUGCCGCAUUUCUUCAGAACUGAACUUGGCUGUCAAUCACACACACACACACACACACACGUAUGAAUUUCUAAGUAGUAUAUUAGACAUUAUAAUUAUCGAAGAAAUUUUUAUUUUUAUUUACCUUUCUAUUUUUUACUGAUUUAUUUAUUCUUUAAUACCUGAAAGACUACUUUCAUUGCAAAAUUUCGACUUGUGUGACGGUUUCGAUGUUGAGUGAACUGCUUGCUUGACAGUUUCAAAAUGAGUUAUUGGUAUCCAAUUUCUCAUAUAGUGAUAACAACCCUAUUGCUGCCAUAUCAGUCUUUUCUUAUAUUUUUGUUUAUGAACAUGAAUCAGGCUGUAGUCUGGAUCUUUCCUGCGAAUUGCGGAGGUCACUCAGGAAGUGUAAUGGAUGAUGUGUACUCCAAUACUUGGCCGUUGCAUUAACACACACACACACACAUACACACACACACACACAUUAUUAUGUCGCUGCCUGAACAUUUUGUGUUCAGCGCGUGUUAUUUUCCUUGCUUCACAUGUACACCACCACCCUGCUCUUCACCGCCCAAACAACCUGCUUCCGCACGCUGCAUCGGUAAUUUAGAACUUUUCACCGCGAUAGCUGCUUCAUUUCCUCACCACGUCUCGUCACAUCCUCACACUUUCAUCACAACAUCUGUUCAAGCGCCUCGUCCCCUCUGGCAGCCGCACCACUCCUAUUAUAUACAACCCAAUGUCCAGUCUCAUUUCCAAAGUGCCUAUUGAAAAUUGACUCACAGUUUCCUCACUCCUCAGCAUUGUCAUUUGUUGAAACGAAAAAAAAAAAAAAAAAAAGUUGCUGCUGUUACUGGCCCUUCCCACUGUGAAUGUUUGUAAGAUUUCUUGAAGUACGGGAAGGUGGGGUAAGACGGACCGGACCCAUGGGGUGAGAUGGAACCUCCCAUCUAAUCUCAAGCAGAAAGGAAGAGGUGCAAAAUUUGACUCUUAGAUGUCCUUCACGUCACCCAACAACGACGUCAUUGCUGCCAGUAGGCAUGCUCAGUUCCCCUUGUGCUUAUGAGUUUGUUUGUCCUUUUACAUAGUGCUGAUGUUAUAUGCGCAAGAUGCCUCGAAAAUAUAUACGAGUUAGUAGCAGAGGGGAAUGGACUGAGGCAGCUAUUACAGCUAUUCUAGUGUUUUGGUGCCAAAAGUUGCUCGGAGACUGUUCAAGCCAAGUAGUUCACCCCAGGACGUAAUUCCCUUGCCAAAGAGGGCCACAACUUUACGAAAGAAGAGAGCCAGGCCCCAAGGGCGACCUCUUGUUUUGACAGCGUCUCCAUAUAAAACAGAGUUAGAAUCAGAAAUUCAAAAGAAAAAGGAAAAAGACCUUGCUAUAGCACAGAAGCGCCAAGAGAGAGAGAGAGAGAGAGAGAGAAGACAAGAAGAAAAAGAAAUUAGCAAUGUUUGCAUCAAACAAACAACCUAACAAAAAGACGACAAAACAGAAAAAAAAAAAGCAAAGCAAGAAAAAGCUGGACCAUCCUGGUCUCAAGACAGUGGUAGUGACAGUGAAGAUGGAGAGUCAACUGAAUGUUUGUACCGCAGUGAUACAUUUGGUAAUUCUGUGAGAGGAGAAGGGUGGGUUUGUUGUGCUAUUUGCAAACGUUGGGCUCAUGAGCAAUGUGCAGGGAUAGAUGAUGAGGAAGAGGUUUAUGUGUGUGAUUUGUGCCAGUAAGGAUUUGCUACUUCAUGUUCAGUUCAAGGGGUAAGAUGGACCCCUAGGGUCCAUCUUAUCCCGUCAUUUUGUUUUUGGUCCAAUAAAACUUUUGAUUUUGUAA